rnacentral:rRNA from 1 species
UACGUAGGAGACAAACGUUAUCCGGAUUUACUGGGCGUAAAGGGCGUGUAGGUGGUUGCGUAAGUCUGGCGUGAAAUUUUUCGGCUUAACCGGGAAAGGUCGUCGGAUACUGCGUAGCUAGAGGACGGUAGAGGCGUGUGGAAUUCCGGGUGUAGUGGUGAAAUGCGUAGAGAUCCGGAGGAACCCCAGAGGCGAAGGCGGCGCCCUGGCUCGCAACUGACGCUCAGACACGACAGCAUGGGGAGCGAACGGG